UACGGAAGGCAGCAGUGGGGAAUAUUGCACAAUGGGCGAAAGCCUGAUGCAGCUAUGCCGCGUGUAUGAAGAAGGCCUUAGGGUUGUAAAGUACUUUCAUCGGGGAGGAAAAAACAAAACUAAUAAUUUUAUUUCUUGACGUUACCCGAAAAAGAAGCACCGGCUAACUCCGUGCCAGCAGCCGCGGUAAUACGGAGGGUGCUAGCGUUAAUCAGAAUUACUGGGCGUAAAGAGCACGUAGGUGGUUUUUUUAAGUCAGAUGUGAAAUCCCUGGGCUUAACCUAGGAACUGCAUUUUGAAACUGAAAUACUAGAGUAUCGUAGAGGGAGGUAGAAUUCUAGGUGUAGCGGUGAAAUGCGUAGAUAUCUGGAGGAAUACCUGUGGCGAAAGCGGCCUCCUAAACGAAUACUGACACUGAGGUGUGAAAGCGUGGGGAGCAAACAGGGAUUAGAUACC
rnacentral:rRNA from 1 species